rnacentral:rRNA from 1 species
GACGAACGCUGGCGGCGUGCUUAACACAUGCAAGUCGAACGGAAAGGCUCCAGCUUGCUGGAGUACUCGAGUGGCGAACGGGUGAGUAACACGUGGGUAAUCUGCCCUGCACUCUGGGAUAAGCCUGGGAAACUGGGUCUAAUACUGGAUAUGACCUUUCUCCUUAUGGGGUUUGGUGGAAAGUUUUUCGGUGUAGGAUGAGCCCGCGGCCUAUCAGCUUGUUGGUGGGGUGAUGGCCUACCAAGGCGACGACGGGUAGCCGGCCUGAGAGGGUGAUCGGCCACAUUGGGACUGAGAUUCGGCCCAGACUCCUACGGGAGGCAGCAGUGGGGAAUAUUGCACAAUGGGCGGAAGCCUGAUGCAGCGACGCCGCGUGAGGGAUGACGGCCUUCGGGUUGUAAACCUCUUUCAGCAGGGACGAAGCGUAAGUGACGGUACCUGCAGAAGAAGCACCGGCUAACUACGUG